rnacentral:lncRNA from 1 species
UCAUUGUAGACAGACUCUGCAUCUCAGCAGCUCUUGUGUUCAGAAUAAAAGAAGCUGCCCGCCUGUCCCCGCUAUGGCCAAGCUGUCUGCACUCCUUCUCCAAGUGGCGUUGAGCGCUGUCUUCGUUCUUGGGCGCUCUGACAACGUGGAGUAACACCCUGCGAGAGCCCUGCAAUACGGAUGUGCCGGCCAGGUG